rnacentral:rRNA from 1 species
UACGGAGGGUGCAAGCGUUAAUCGGAAUUACUGGGCGUAAAGCGCACGCAGGCGGUCUGCCAAGUCGGAUGUGAAAUCCCCGGGCUUAACCUGGGAACUGCAUCCGAAACUGGCAGGCUAGAGUCUUGUAGAGGGGGGUAGAAUUCCAUGUGUAGCGGUGAAAUGCGUAGAGAUGUGGAGGAAUACCGGUGGCGAAGGCGGCUUUCUGGUCUGUAACUGACACUGAGGCACGAAAGCGUGGGGAGCAAAUAGG